rnacentral:tRNA from 1 species
UUGAAAAUAGCUCAGUGGUAAAGUAUGUGCCUAGCAUGCACAAAAUCCUGGGUUCAAUUUCUAGUCUACAAU